rnacentral:lncRNA from 1 species
GAGCAAUGGGAUUAAUGUGAUGAGAUAAGAAUACUGGAAGUUUGCUUGGAAAGUAAAGAAUGAAGAAAAGGAAGAAUAAGUCAAAUGGCAAAAUCCAGUGGCUUAUCACGAUAAGAUCGCCUCGCGCAGUUAGAAGCGGAAAACUAGCCUCGCAUUGUGACGAAAGGAUUUUCUUAGAUGUCCAAUUCCAUUAUCUCAUCGUGAUUAGACCGCAUCAUGGUGCUAGAUGCGGA